rnacentral:misc_RNA from 1 species
GAUGAAGAACGCAGCAAAAUGCGAUAAGUAAUGUGAAUUGCAGAAUUCAGUGAAUCAUCGAAUCUUUGAACGCACAUUGCGCCCGCCAGCAUCCUGGGAGGCAUGCCUGUCCGAGCGUCGUUUCAACCCUCGAGCCCCCGUGGCCCGGCGUUGGGGAUCUGCCACGGCAGGCCCCUAAAACCAGUGGCGGACCCGAAGGCCCUCUCCUUUGCGCAGUAGCAUCAGCCUCGCAUUGGGAUCCCUCGGCGUCCUGCCUCUAAACCCCCCACAAGUCCGCUCCGGCGGCACCAAGGUUGACCUCGGAUCAGGUAGGAAUACCCGCUGAACUUAAGCAUAUCAAUAAGCGGAGGA